rnacentral:lncRNA from 1 species
CGUACGUCAUUUCAGCAAAAAAAUAUUACAUUUCCAUAUUCUCAGAAAUAAAUAGUAGUUUUGCUGAAACGUAAUGUAUUUCAAUGUAAAUUAGGAUAAACUACAUGAAAACAAAAGACUUUAUCUAACCUUCCGACGCUCAGGAUAUGUUACUCGUUUUUUGUAAUACUUUUCGGUUAAAAUACUGUUAUAUUAGUGAUAUUCUAUUCAUACUGUGCUUGAUAUAAUACAUUCACGGAAAUGUAAUAUUUUUGCAACUACAAUGCUGAUGUCAACACAAGCGUGGUUACAGCGAGACUGACUGACUGAGGGAACGCGGGGUGGCGCAGGCGAUGUGUGUGGUGUGCAGUGUGUGGUGUCGCGCGCGAUUUGAAUAAUGUAUAUUCCUUUGAAUGUAUAUUCCUCCAGCGGCAAUCCGUGUAAGUUAAUCCCGUGUAUGUUAAGGGCCGACUGUACUUGCAAAUAACUGAUUGAGACUCUUGUUACAUAAACAAAAGAAAUAAAAACUUUUAAGUUACUUUAGGCAUAUAAAUACUUUGUUGGUGCUCAUAACAAUGUUUAUUCUCAGAGGAUAGUUGAGAGUUUUAUCAGUGAAAGUGUGAUCCCUUCUCAGGGUUGUAAUGAGAAUCCUCACCAGCCAUGGUUUUGCCUGAAUAGAACCUGUCUGGUGUGCACUGUGCAUAUAUGGCUGGUUUAGUAUUUAUAUGAAUCGGUUUUAAUCUUAUAUAUUUAUUAGCUGUUCCAUAUAUUGUUGCUGGCUUCUGUACUUCUUUCCUGGGUCUACUUCAUGGUCAUGUACUGUCCCGAGGCUAAUCAUUUUACGUGAAACUUGCACACAUUCAAGAUCGUCGCCAGGUCAUUUUAGAAGUUGGCAACACGGGCUCAGAAGAGUCAAGCAUGUUCGUGAAGUGGCGUGUGUGACUCGACAGUAAUGAGAUAAACGGCACUAAUUUGUAGGCGGUAUGAAGUACAGGACACUUGUUUUAUAAUGUUAUUAAUAUUUACACUAUUUCCAAUCAUUAUUACUACUCCAGUAUUGAUCACGAUACUAGCCUCGUACUUGGGGGUUGGAAACUCGUGGUGAAGAGAGUAGAGUUCAUGGGUGAUAUGACUACAUCACAAAAGCCGAGAAGAGACUGGAAGGCUCCCAUGUGUGAGAGAGUGAAAGAUAAAUACUUACUUGGCAACAUAAUCUAACCAGGCCUGCACUUUUUAUUAAAAUAGGCCCGCCAAUGAUCAAAACGUCAUAUGAUGCGACUCAAAGCUCUACAGACGCAUGACAUAUGAUGUGACCCAAAGCCUAGGAGUUAAAGGAGGCUAAGACAAAAACCGAAAACAGUAGACAUGGUAUCAAAGUUUAAAAGGAGUUUGAAAUUACAUAUAUCUGAAAUAAGUUUAGUCAAUAAACCAGAGAACUUUCAGAUGGUUUCCAAUCUUUGCAUCUAAUGAUAACUUUGGCAGAGUUUUGGGUACUGUUACCAGUAUAGGGAGGUCUGCCCCUUUGGUUAUAUUUCUGCUACAGUAUUCAGUGUGUCAUGUUACAAAAUAUUGGCAUAAGUGAAAAUUGCUGUUAUGUUUGCCUACAAAAGAUUAUAUUUUCGCUUCUCUCUACACAAAAUGAGAUUUCAUGUGGAGUAAAGAUACUGUACCUUAUACUGUACCGUACAGUUCUAUACAGUACUUCUUUUAUUCAGUGGAAUAUAUAGUCACUUAUACAAGUUUUAUUUCACCCACAUGACACUCAAGCAAAAAACAAGUUGUUACUUCUCUAGUUUUCCUAUAAGAAUGUAAAUGCUGUAUGGUAAAAAAUUAAAUGUUUUACAUUUCUACUUCAAGGUGGACAAUCAAAUAUGACAAGAUCUUAUCUUAACAAGAAGUAUUCUAAAAUGAUGUACUGUAUACCAAAGAAGAAUGAUUUAACACAAUUAUAAAAAAAGGACAAUGUUAUGUUUAACCAAAUAUUUUACCAAACAAAAAACUGUUUACUUCAAAAACUUGGAAAAUAAAAUAAUUUUUUUAAAUACAAAAUGCAGAUGCAGGCACUGUACUGUAAAAGGAUGGUAAAAAUUAUUUAUAUCAGGUAAGAAAUGUUGUAGUACUUGAAGAGUGUCAUUCUUAGAAGAAAUAUUAAUAAUUAUCCAAAAGGAGAAUGUUUCCUACACAAGAAAUACUGUACUAGUUUAAAAUUACAUGGUCUCAUUUUAUAAUGGAACCAAAUACAUACUCAUGAAACUAUUAUUUCUAAAGACUAAUUUUAUAGCUGGAAGAGGCAGCUGUAGAAAUCCUUCAACUAUAAAUUAUAUUCUCAGGAAUUCAACAUGAAAUAUUCUUACAAAUAUUGUUUAGUUAUCGUAUUUUGUACUACGUAAUUAACUUGUUCCAUUCUGAAAAAUAGAGUAACUGUAUAGUUUCACUUCUGAUGAGACCAUAGUCAUAUUCUUUGUAAAUUAUAAACUAGGCAGUACACUGGCUGCAUCAGUAUGAGGGUCAGUGUUGUCAUUAUUUAUGUCAUUACUGUAGAUGUUUGUCUUAAAGCUUUUGUAAUUAUGAAAAUCUUGAUGGAAAUUAAAGGCAGCUUCUGCCAUAAUUUAUAAAAAGUAUUAUCAUUGCAUUAUCACUGUAAUGUAUUGACCGAGAAUACAUACAUGCUUAACCUUUCAAGUGCAGCUGUUCCAAGAUGUCUUAGGUAAAUAUAGCAACCUUCAUACUGUACAGUAUUUGUGUACCUACAUAUGUAUAUUUUCUGUUCUUUACCUUAUGUCAUCCCCUUUUUUAUUUUGUCUUAUGUUUUUCUUUUCUCUCUCUGCACAGUUAUUCCAUUUUCCCCUUUCUUACUUUUGUUUUCUCCCUCAAGAACUAACUAAAAUACCUGUAUAGCUUCUUUUUUUUUCUCACUCAAGAACUAAGUAAAAUGUACUUUUUGCCACCUUAAAAUUAACCAAUAUACUGUUAGUCUAAUUUAGAUAUUUAUGUACAGUAGCUAAAACAACUAUCUGUGCAGGUGGGGGUCGAUAUGCUCCAAAUUAUACGUGUGACUAGUGACAACCUUCAUAUACCAAAUUUUAUCGUCCAUGAUCUCAUAUUGUUUCCCACAAAGUAUGCACAGAUAGUUGUUUUAGCUACUGGACAUGUAUAUACAGUAUAGAUUUAUGUAUAUGUAUGUAUUGAUUUACAGUAUAUACAUGCUAUCAUCUAUUAUUUGAUGUACAGUAUCUUCUUGUAUAAAAUAAACUGUUUCCCACACUUAGAGCAAGGUGUCACAUGCAGAAUCUUGACAAACUAGAGUCUGACCAAACAUCUCACUAACACAGUGAAAUUUCAGAUAUGUGACAUUAGCCCUCAUGUGCAUUGGUCUUAACUCAAACUGAAGUGAAACAUUUGGCUUCUGUAGAUACCUUAAGAAUGUACAGUAACUGGAAUUUGAAUCAUGGGGUCUUCAGCUGAUUAGUUUACACAGUGAUGUUGGUGGGUAGGUCAGACCAACUGUAGCUAAACAAGAAAUAGCAAGUUCCCAGUAUAUUCAGAACUUAAGGUUGAACUGGACCAGGAAUUUGAUAUACGAGUAUGGAAGUAGCCUGAAAAUGAAUCAUUAAUGGUGCUCUAGAGGCUAUUUCUCUUGUCCUUGAUCCAUCCAUACCUUAAGUUUCUCAUAGUUACUGUAUUACUGAGAAGGUCCACCAGGUUCACUUCCUUCACUCUUUUCUGAGUCAUCUCCAUGUACAUAAGAGAUAGCUCAUGAAAUAAUAUUUUGGUGCAUUUACUAUAUGAUCUGUUACAACAGUUGCUAAUUCUCAAAUGAAAAUCCUUUGUAAAUGGAAAGUUGAAGUCUAUAAAGACUUUAAGGGCAAACCUCAGGGUAAAAUUAGGAACUUAUAUGCUUCUCUAAGCCUUGGUGAGAAUAUCCUUGUCUUAAGGACAUAUAUUAUGUAUUCAGUGGAAGCUGGAAAUACCUGAUCCUUAUGGGGUUGAAAGGUGAUGUUCAUCUGAUCAGUCAAUUGUUUUGCAGUUGUUUAUAAGAUAAUUCUAUCGACAGUAAACCCUUCACACUUCCGGACCUCUCAGAUCCGGAUUUCGGUUGGUUUGGAUGUGGGAAAUUCAUAUCUGGUCUCUCAGUCCGUACGCCUGUCACCUUUACUCUGCCGCUGCUAAAAUGGACCCUGUCUGCAUCUCCCACCAUUACUCACCGCGUGCCGUUUAUAGAGUAAUACAUUGACAUAAUUAUUAUUGUUCUUGUUAUUGCUGUAUUAUUAUUUAAUACUUUCAUUACUGUUAUAAUUAAUACCAUAUUAUUAUUGUUAUUAUCAUUAAUGCACCUUCAUCACACAGUCUAUUCGAACAUUUGCAACAUCCUGACGCCCUUUCCCCCCUAAUUGUCUGGAAGUGCGAGGGUUUACUGUACUUCUUAGUUUAACUGCUUUGACAACAGAAAGUUGGAUACAUUUAGGUCAUGUGUUCUUUUUAACAAGAUCUCAACGAGGCAGAGAAUGUAACUAACUGGUUAAUUGUGUGUAAGGGAUUCCAUGUCCUUUGUAUUAUCUAUUUAUUUACAGAAUAAAUUUUUAUACAACUAAAUUAUACUUCAAA